GACGAACGCUGGCGGCGUGCUUAACACAUGCAAGUCGAGCGGUAAGGCCCUUUCGGGGGUACACGAGCGGCGAACGGGUGAGUAACACGUGGGUGACCUGCCUUUAGCUCUGGGAUAAGCCUGGGAAACUGGGUCUAAUACCGGAUAUGACUCCGCGGUGCAUGCUGUGGGGUGAAAGCCUUGUGCGGCUGGAGAUGGGGCCCGCGGCCUAUCAGCUUGGUUGGUGGGGUGAUGGCCUACCAAGGCGACGACGGGUAGCCGGCCUGAGAGGGCGACCGGCCACACUGGGACUGAGACACGGCCCAGACUCCUACGGGAGGCAGCAGGUGGGGAAUCUUGCGCAAUGGGCGAAAGCCUGAUCCAGCGAUGCCGCGUGUGUGAAGAAGGCCU
rnacentral:rRNA from 1 species